GGCAUUAUUGUUUGCAAGCUAAGUCAGACAGAUUACAUACAUACUAAGGUCAUACUUGAUUAAGGAUAUUAUUUUUGUACUCAAAAGAUGGCCAGCACUCAAGAAUAUGCAGCAACGAAGGUGAUGUUCAGUAACAAUGUUCAAGCUACGCUUAGUGUUAAGCUCAUCAACGGCGAUGGAGAAGACCCUGCACAAGUUUACGGAACCAUAACCGGUCGCUUUGGAAUCACUAGCCAAUUUUCACUCUUUAAUAAGCCUCAAAGCCAACGCAUUCAUUCCCUUAAGCCAGUCGGAUGUGAAUGUGCCUGAAGCCGCCACGGAAAUGGAGAUUACAGCGUACUUGAUGGACUAUGAUAGUGUUUCUCCCGACGAUGAAAUUGCAAACGGUAGCGUUGUGUUUCUGGUCAAAGACUCUGGUGUGAGUGAGAAGAAACCCAUCAGCGGAAAGUAUGGCUCCAUCGAAGUUAACGUCGUUUGGGGCUGAGCUAGCAUUGCCCAACUACUAAUAUAAUGCUGGUGCAGUCUUACGAGCUAGCUAGCUAGUAUAACGUAUUAAAUAAAACUUCCCUGCACUAGUACGCCUUGUGUUCAUGUUUCCUAUGCACUUGUGUACUAUUUCAAUAAUCCAAUUAUCUAAAUAAUCUUCGUGUGUUUCAAUUACCUA